UACAGAGGUCUCAAGCGUUGUUCGGAUUCAUUGGGCGUAAAGGGUGCGUAGGCGGCGCGGAAAGUAGGGUGUGAAAUCCCUCGGCUCAACCGAGGAACUGCGCUCUAAACUACCGUGCUCGAGGGAGGUAGAGGUGAGCGGAACUGAGGGUGGAGCGGUGAAAUGCGUUGAUAUCCUCAGGAACACCGGUGGCGAAAGCGGCUCACUGGACCUCUUCUGACGCUGAGGCACGAAAGCUAGGGUAGCGAACGGG
rnacentral:rRNA from 1 species